rnacentral:rRNA from 1 species
AUUGAACGCUGGCGGCAUGCCUUACACAUGCAAGUCGAACGGUAACAGGUCUUCGGAUGCUGACGAGUGGCGAACGGGCGAGUAAUACAUCGGAACGUGCCUAGUAGUGGGGGAUAACUACUCGAAAGAGUGGCUAAUACCGCAUGAGAUCUACGGAUGAAAGCAGGGGAUCGCAAGACCUUGUGCUACUAGAGCGGCCGAUGGCAGAUUAGGUAGUUGGUGGGAUAAAAGCUUACCAAGCCGACGAUCUGUAGCUGGUCUGAGAGGACGAUCAGCCACACUGGGACUGAGACUCGGCCCAGACUCCUACGGGAGGCAGCAGUGGGGAACUUUGGACAAUGGGCGAAAGCCUGAUCCAGUAAUGCCGCGUGCAGGAUGAAGGCCUUCGGGUUGUAAACUGCUUUUGUACGGAACGAAAAGCCCUGGGUUAAUACCCUGGGGUCAUGACGGUACCGUAAGAAUAAGCACCGGCUAACUACGUGCCAGCCGCCGCAGUAACAC